GACGAACGCUGGCGGCGGGCUUAACAUAUGCAAGUCGAACGGGAACUUCCUUCUUAUCUGGGGUGCUGGAGUGGCCAACGGGUAAGGAACCCGUUACUUACCUGCCGUCGACUUUGGGAUAACUUCAGGAAACUGGGGCUAAUUCCGGAUAGGAGCUCCCGGCGCAUGGUGGGGGCUGGAAAGUUUCGGCGGUUGGGGGUGGACUCGCGGCCUAUCAGGUUGUUGGUUGGGUAGUGGCUUACCAAGGCUUUGCCCGGUGGCCGGGCUGAGAGGGUGACCGGCCACGUUGCGACUGGGCUACGACACAGCCUCCUACGGGAGGCAGCGGUGCGGAGGGGUGCACAAGGGGCGGAGGCCUGAUGCAACAACGCCGCGUGGGGGAUGACGGGCUUCGGGUUGUAAUCCACUGUCGCCUGUGACGAGGCGAGAGUGACGGUAAUGGGUGAAGAAGCACCGGCUAACUACGUG
rnacentral:rRNA from 1 species